GCGGAUAUAGAUUAAAGGUAGAUCCCCUGCCUUCCAAGCAAGCAAUACGGGUUCGAUCUCCAUUAUCCGUU
rnacentral:tRNA from 1 species